GCUUUACAGGGUCGCAGAUUAUCUGUAUAAUUUGCGACCUUAACUUGCGAGAGCAAGCUGAUGGUGCUUAGCCUAUCUAAGCCCCGUCUAAGACUGUAGGGGUGAAAACUUAAUAAUCCUACAUAGAUGGUGAACAGACAGAAUUCUCUGCUUCUGGACACCUUAGGCUCAAAGAAGAUUGCAGUUUGUAGCAAUGCAAGCGGUAAUAUUUUUGGGAUUUUUUGUAAAUUCUGCUUGAAAAGGCAGAGUGUAUCAGGAGCUAAAACCA
rnacentral:ncRNA from 1 species